rnacentral:rRNA from 1 species
UACGGAGGAUCCGAGCGUUAUCCGGAUUUAUUGGGUUUAAAGGGUGCGUAGGCGGGCUUUUAAGUCAGCGGUAAAAAUUCGGGGCUCAACCCCGUCCGGCCGUUGAAACUGGGGGCCUUGAGUGGGCGAGAAGAAGGCGGAAUGCGUGGUGUAGCGGUGAAAUGCAUAGAUAUCACGCAGAACCCCGAUUGCGAAGGCAGCCUUCCGGCGCCCUACUGACGCUGAGGCACGAAAGUGCGGGGAUCGAACAGG